GGGGACGUAAAGGUUUCGACGGGAGCGUAGAAGUCCGAUAAGCGAGCCGUGUCGUCGGAGCACGUAAAAGCCGACCGUUAAAUACAAACGCUAAAAAUACAAACAAACUCGCAAUCGCCGCUUAGUUCGGCGCGCGUGUCAGCCCUGACUCACCUGCAGGUCAGGGGUCUGGCAUCGACUAUGCAGGAAACUCAGGCCGGGAGCCCGGACGCGUCUGAGGAAUAAUUCGGGAUAACUGCGGCAGCAGCCCGCCGACGGACAACUGCCGGGGCGAAAAGACAAACGCCGGAUGCGCUCGGAGAAAUUCGAAUGGAAAUACUUUCGGACGUGAGUUCGACUCUCACCGUCUCCACCA
rnacentral:tmRNA from 1 species